rnacentral:rRNA from 1 species
UGGGGAAUAUUGGACAAUGGGCGCAAGCCUGAUCCAGCCAUGCCGCGUGUGUGAUGAAGGCCUUAGGGUUGUAAAGCACUUUCACCGGAGAAGAUAAUGACGGUAUCCGGAGAAGAAGCCCCGGCUAACUUCGUGCCAGCAGCCGCGGUAAUACGAAGGGGGCUAGCGUUGUUCGGAAUUACUGGGCGUAAAGCGCACGUAGGCGGAUCGAUCAGUCAGGGGUGAAAUCCCAGAGCUCAACUCUGGAACUGCCUUUGAUACUGUCGGUCUAGAGUAUGGAAGAGGUGAGUGAAUUCCGAGUGUAGAGGUGAAAUUCGUAGAUAUUCGGAGGAACACCAGUGGCGAAGGCGGCUCACUGGUCCAUUACUGACGCUGAGGUGCGAAAGCGUGGGGAGCAAACAGG